UGGGGAAUAUUGCACAAUGGGGGAAACCCUGAUGCAGCGACGCCGCGUGAGCGAAGAAGUAUUUCGGUAUGUAAAGCUCUAUCAGCAGGGAAGAAAAAUGACGGUACCUGACUAAGAAGCACCGGCUAAAUACGUGCC
rnacentral:rRNA from 1 species